rnacentral:rRNA from 1 species
UACGGGGGGGGCAAGCGUUGUUCGGAAUUACUGGGCGUAAAGGGUUUGUAGGUGGCUCGCUAAGUCAGACGUGAAAUCCCUCAGCUUAACUGGGGAACUGCGUCUGAGACUGGCGAGCUUGAGUGCAGGAGAGGAACGCGGAAUUCCAGGUGUAGCGGUGAAAUGCGUAGAUAUCUGGAGGAACACCGGUGGCGAAGGCGGUUCUCUGGGACGGUACUGACGCUGAGACGCGAAAGCGUGGGGAGCGAACAGG